GGAGGUGUGCCAGAGUGGUUGAACGGGGCGGUCUCGAAAACCGUUAUACAAGUAAUUGUAUCGGGGGUUCGAAUCCCUCCACCUCCGCAA
rnacentral:tRNA from 1 species